GAUGAACGCUGGCGGCGUGCCUAAUACAUGCAAGUCGAACGAACAGACGGGGACUUUCCUCUUCUGACGAGUGCCGCACGGGUGAGUGUAACAUGUGGAUAACCCAUGUAUAAGACGGGGAUAACUUGGAAAAACCAGAGAUAACACCGGAUAAUAUAUUGAACCACAUGGUUCAAUAGAGAAAUACGGUUUUGCUGUUACUUGUUGAUGGAUCCGCGCCGGAUUAGCUAGUUGGUAUGGCAACGGCUUACCAAGUCAACGAUGCGUAGCCGGCCUGAGAGGGUGAUCGGCCACACUGGAACUGAGACACGGCCCAGACUCCUACGGGAGGCAGCAGUAGGGAAUCUUGGGCAAUGGGCGAAAGCCUGACGGAGCAACGCCGCGUGAGUGAUGAAGGUCUUCGGGUCGUAAACCUCUUUUAUUAGGAAAGAACAAAUGUGUAAUUAAAUGUUCACGUCUUGACGGUACCUAAUCAGAAAGCAACGGCUAACUACGUG
rnacentral:rRNA from 1 species